UUGAACGCUGGCGGCGUGGCUAAAACAUGCAAGUCAGGGAGAUCCCCGCAAGGGGUGACACCGGCGGAAGGGUGAGUAAUACAUUCGAACGUACCCCGAGGUGGGGGAUAGGCGUGGGAAACUGCGCGUAAUACCCCAUGAGCUCUCCGGAGGAAAGCCGCAAGGCGCCUUGGGAGCGGCGAAUGUCCUAUCAGGUAGUUGGCGGGGUAAAGGCCCACCAAGCCGAAGACGGGUAGCAGGUGUGAGAGCACGGCCUGCCACAUCGGGACUGAGACACUGCCCGGACUCCUACGGGAGGCUGCAGUAACGAAUAUUCCGCAAUGCGCGAAAGCGUGACGGAGCGACGCCGCGUGCAGGAUGAAGCGGCUUUGCCGUGUAAACUGCUGUCAGGAGCUACUAACACUGAAGAGCUCCAGAGGAAGGGCCGGCUAAUCCUGU
rnacentral:rRNA from 1 species